rnacentral:rRNA from 1 species
AACGAACGCUGGCGGCAUGCCUAACACAUGCAAGUCGAACGAGACCUUCGGGUCUAGUGGCGCACGGGUGCGUAACGCGUGGGAACCUGCCUUUAGGUUCGGAAUAACUCAGAGAAAUUUGAGCUAAUACCGGAUGAUGUCUUCGGACCAAAGAUUUAUCGCCUUUAGAUGGGCCCGCGUUGGAUUAGCUAGUUGGUGGGGUAAAGGCCUACCAAGGCGACGAUCCAUAGCUGGUCUGAGAGGAUGAUCAGCCACACUGGGACUGAGACACGGCCCAGACUCCUACGGGAAGCAGCAGUGGGGAAUAUUGGACAAUGGGCGAAAGCCUGAUCCAGCAAUGCCGCGUGAGUGAUGAAGGCCUUAGGGCUGUAAAGCUCUUUUACCCGAGAUGAUAAUGACAGUAUCGGGAGAAUAAGCUCCGGCUAACUCCGUG